rnacentral:rRNA from 1 species
AUUGAACGCUGGCGGCAGGCCUAACACAUGCAAGUCGAACGAGUGGCGGACGGGUGAGUAAUGUCUGGGAAACUGCCCGAUGGAGGGGGAUAACUACUGGAAACGGUAGCUACUACCGCAUACCAUCGGAUGUGCCCAGAUUGGAUUAGCUAGUAGGUGGGGUAACGGCUCACCUAGGCGACGAUCCCUAGCUGGUCUGAGAGGAUGACCAGCCACACUGGAACUGAGACACGGUCCAGACUCCUACGGGAGGCAGCAGUGGGGAAUAUUGCACAAUGGGCGAAAGCCUGAUGCAGCCAUGCCGCGUGUAUGAAGAAGGCCUUCGGGUUGUAAAGUACUUUCAGCGAGGAGGCGGUACUCGAAGAAGAAGCAUCGGCUAACUACGUGCCAGCAGCCGCGGUAAUUC